rnacentral:rRNA from 1 species
UACGAAGGGGGCUAGCGUUGUUCGGAAUCACUGGGCGUAAAGGGCGCGUAGGCGGCUGUUCAAGUCGGGGGUGAAAUCCCGUGGCUCAACCACGGAAUGGCCUUCGAUACUGGACGGCUGGAGACCGGAAGAGGUGAGGUGGAACUGCGAGUGUAGAGGUGAAAUUCGUAGAUAUUCGCAAGAACACCAGUGGCGAAGGCGGCUCACUGGUCCGGUUCUGACGCUGAGGCGCGAAAGCGUGGGGAGCAAACAGG